GGCUGAAAUUCGCCUUCAUGAAGCUGGAAUUGCUAGUAAUGGCAGGUCAGCAUACUGCCGUGAAUACGUUCCCGGGCCUUGUACACACCGCCCGUCACACCAUGAGAGUUGGGUAUACCCGAAGCCUGUGAGCUAACUUAUAGAGGCAGCAGUCGAAGGUAGAAUCAAUGAUUGGGGUGAAGUCGUAACAAGGUACC
rnacentral:rRNA from 1 species